rnacentral:rRNA from 1 species
GUCCACGCUGUAAACGUUGGGCGCUAGGUGUGGGGACCCUCUCCGGGUUUCUGCGCCGCAGCUAACGCAUUAAGCGCCCCGCCUGGGGAGUACGGCCGCAAGGCUAAAACUCAAAGGAAUUGACGGGGGCCCGCACAAGCGGCGGAGCAUGCGGAUUAAUUCGAUGCAACGCGAAGAACCUUACCUGGGUUUGACAUCGCCGGAAAACUCGUAGAGAUACGGGGUCCUUCGGGGCCGGUGACAGGUGGUGCAUGGCUGUCGU